rnacentral:rRNA from 1 species
UACGGAGGGGGCUAGCGUUGUUCGGAAUUACUGGGCGUAAAGCGCGCGUAGGCGGACCUGCAAGUCGGGGGUGAAAGCCCGAGGCUCAACCUCGGAACUGCCUUCGAUACUGCGGGUCUCGAGUCCGGGAGAGGUGAGUGGAAUUCCUAGUGUAGAGGUGAAAUUCGUAGAUAUUAGGAAGAACACCAGUGGCGAAGGCGGCUCACUGGCCCGGUACUG